CUCACCUGGAUGGCAGAGGUGUACUGGUCCAUUCUGUUGCUUAUCUUGGAGACAAUUGGAGUGUGAGACAUUCUGGACGCGGUGCUGUGUGGACAAACAACACAUGGGACAAUAGCAAGCUCACCAGUAUGAGAAAGCGCAGUGCCCUAGAUGACCCCGCUGAGGGACAGACCAGUCCGUCCCUGGGGAGGUCUCUCCGUACUUGGACACUGUGUUGGUCGCUGCCUUAGUGAUUGAACGAGUUAGCAUCAGCCUCUGCUACCUCUUCUUGGGAUGGUAUCUUCUCCUCUUCCUCUGUACCUCCCUGUCUGUUGCUGCUAAUGGAAGACUGCUCUUCCAGUGUGCCAUUGGUGGUGUCAAGCUCCUUCUGCCUCUCCA